rnacentral:rRNA from 1 species
UACGUAGGGGGCAAGCGUUGUCCGGAUUUAUUGGGCGUAAAGAGCGUGUAGGCGGCCAGGUAGUGGGUUGUGAAAACUGGAGGCUCAACCUUCAGACGUCGACCCAAACCCCCUGGCUAGAGUCCGGAAGAGGAGAGUGGAAUUCCUGGUGUAGCGGUGAAAUGCGCAGAUAUCAGGAAGAACACCCGUGGCGAAGGCGGCUCUCUGGGACGGUACUGACGCUGAGACGCGAAAGCGUGGG